rnacentral:rRNA from 1 species
UACGUAGGGGGCAAGCGUUGUCCGGAAUCAUUGGGCGUAAAGAGCGUGUAGGCGGCCCGAUAAGUCCGCCGGUGAAAGUCCAAGGGCUCAACCCUGGAAUGCCGGUGGAAACUGUCGGGCUGGAGUCCGGAAGAGGCGAGUGGAAUUCCUGGGUGAUAGCGGUGAAAUGCGCAGAUAUCAGGAGGAACACCAAUGGCGAAGGCAGCUCGCUGGGACGGUACUGACGCGUGGAGACGCGAAAGCGUCGGGGAGCAAACAGG